AACGAACGCUGGCGGCAUGCCUAACACAUGCAAGUCGAACGAGACCUUCGGGUCUAGUGGCGCACGGGUGCGUAACGCGUGGGAACCUGCCCUUAGGUUCGGAAUAACUCCCCGAAAGGGGUGCUAAUACCGGAUAAUGUCUUCGGACCAAAGAUUUAUCGCCUUUGGAUGGGCCCGCGUUGGAUUAGCUAGUUGGUAGGGUAAAAGCCUACCAAGGCGACGAUCCAUAGCUGGUCUGAGAGGAUGAUCAGCCACACUGGAACUGAGACACGGCCCAGACUCCUACGGGGGACAGCGGUGGGGAAUAUUAGAGAAUGGGCGAAAGCCUGAUCCAGCAAUGCCGCGUGAGUGAUGAAGGCCUUAGGGUUGUAAAGCUCUUUUACACGGGAUGAUAAUGACAGUACCGGGAGAAUAAGCUCCGGCUAACUCCGUG
rnacentral:rRNA from 1 species